UAGUCCACGCCGUAAACGAUGAUAACUAGCUGUCCGGGCUCAUAGAGCUUGGGUGGCGCAGCUAACGCAUUAAGUUAUCCGCCUGGGGAGUACGGUCGCAAGAUUAAAACUCAAAGGAAUUGACGGGGGCCUGCACAAGCGGUGGAGCAUGUGGUUUAAUUCGAUGCAACGCGAAGAACCUUACCAGGGUUAGACAUGUUUGUGAUUUUCUUCGAAAAAGACAUCUCCUUUAGAGCACAUACAACGGUGGUGCAUGGCUGUCGUCAGCUCGUGUCGUGAGAUGUUGGGUUAAGUCCCGCAACGAGCGCAACCCUUGUCUUUAGUUGCCAUCAUUAAGUUGGGCACUUUAAAGAGACUGCCGGUGACAAACCGGAGGAAGGUAAGGAUGACGUCAAGUCAGCAUGCCCCUUAUGCUCUGGGCUACACACGUGCUACAAUGGCCGUGACAAAGAGUUGCUACUUUGUGAAAACAAGCUAAUCUCAUAAACGCGGCCUCAGUUCGGA
rnacentral:rRNA from 1 species